GAUUGUUUGAUCUGGCUCAGGAUGAACGCCAGCGGCAGGCCUACACAUGCAAGUCGAGGGGGUAACUUGAUUGAUAGCAAUAUUAAUUAAGCUAGACCGGCGCACGGGUGCGUAACACGUGUGCAAUCUACCUUUGUACUGGGGCAUAACUCCGAGAAAUCGGUGCUAAUUCCCCAUAACAUUAUGAAGUGGCAUCACUUUAUAAUUAAAGCUCCGGCGGUACAAGAUGAGCACGCGCCCAAUUAGUUAGUAGGCGGGGUAACGGCCCACCUAGACUUCGAUUGGUAGGGGUUCUGAGAGGAUGAUCCCCCACACUGGUACUGAGACACGGACCAGACUCCUACGGGAGGCAGCAGUGAGGAAUAUUGCACAAUGGACGAAAGUCUGACGCAGCCAUGCCGCGUGAAGGAUUGAAGGCCCUAUGGGUUGUAAACUUCUUUUGUAUAGGAAUAAACGCUCCCUCGUGAGGGAGCCUGAAGGUACUAUAAGAAUAAGCACCGGCUAACUCCGUGCCAGCAGCCGCGGUAAUACGGAGGGUGCAAGCGUUAUCCGGAUUUAUUGGGUUUAAAGGGUCCGCAGGCGGAUCGUUAAGUCAGUGGUGAAAGCCUACCGCUCAACGGUAGAACUGCCAUUGAUACUGGCGAUCUUGAAUAUGUAUGAAGUUGGCGGAAUGUGUGGUGUAGCGGUGAAAUGCUUAGAUAUCACACAGAACACCGAUUGCGAAGGCAGCUGACUAAUACAGUAUUGACGCUGAGGGACGAAAGUGUGGGGAUCAAACAGGAUUAGAUACCCUGGUAGUCCACACCGUAAACGAUGAUUACUAGAUUUUGGUCGCAAGAUCAGAGUCCAAGCGAAAGUGUUAGUAAUCCAC
rnacentral:rRNA from 1 species